UUUGCAAUUUUGCUUCUAAUACUAUUAUAGUUGUAUUUUAAUGAAACAUAAUAGUAUUAAAACGGUUUUCUUCUUUUGAAAAAAUUUAUUGCUAGUCCUGUUUCUAAUCGACUUUACUUGUGUAUUUUAAGCUUUUUUGUUGCUGUGCUUUUUCUGGAGAUUUUAGUUGGAUUGGAAAGCUCCUGUGUAAGGUACCCUUUCCUAAAGAAAAAUUAAAGUAAUUUGUACAAUUAUAACGCGCCGAGCUGUGUUUUAUUUUAUUGUUUCUAAGAAGAUGUAAGAAUACAAUAUUAUCAAUUUUAAUUGGUUUUAUCCAAAUCAAGAUUGUGUACAAUGGGAGUGAGUGAUGUAAUCUUCUAAUGCGUUUGGUGAAAAGAAGGCGAAUCCGUUAUUGUUUUUCUGCCCAAAUUUGAAGCUAUUUAAUAAAUCUUGAUAAAGUUAAAAAACUGUUUUGAUUUGUUUGUUUUUGUUUUAAUUGUUUCCCGUGAGUUUUCGAAAUUCGUUCCAGCAGAUUCUGUGGCUUCUACUGCCGGUAUUUUUACGUGAAAAAAAUA